AAAAAUCAACUUCAACAACAUUCAUACAACAAUUGUAUUUCGUGACAAAAACUCUAUAGUGUAAACGAGUUUAAAAUUAAAAGAACCUACUUAAACGGUUUCAGCAGCAUUUCCUGUUGCCUGUUGUGUAUUUUUCUUCUCUUUUAUAUUCUUUAUUUGAACACAAACUUGGAAAAUCGUAGUUUCUAAUUAUCUGAGUUGUGCCUCCAUUUUGUUUAUUUAUGUACGUGGCCGGCCGGGGCGGGCAACAAUUUUUCACCUGUUGCCCGGCGGGAAACAUUGCAUUUAUCUGAAGUCACGUGACCACAAGUCAGCCAAUCACGUUUGGUGUUCACACUAGCUAUAUAACAAUGGUUAUUAUUUCCGCGCACAGGAAUAAUCAUGUAUGUUUAUCGACAAUUCAUAAGAAAUUUCGUGAGCAUUUAUAUGCCCACCCAUGCAAUUUCUACUUAUCUUUCAAUAGAUCUGAUAUUGUGUCGUCGCCAACCAAGUGCAGUAUUUACUAAACGGUCAACUAAUUGAACUCAUAUGCCAUGUUCAACUAUAUGUCUUAUAUAUACAAUUGUUCAUUGGGCUAAAAUAUUCAAAUUUCAUUAAUAGGUUUUUUCACCUGUUUCAGAUCUGUCACGAAUACUUUUAAAAUAG